UACUACCGAAGCUACGGCAUCAGUAAUGAUGGGUAGGGGAGCUUCCCAUACGGGUUGAAGCAUGACCGUAAGGACAUGUGGACAGUAUGGGAGUGAGAAUGUUGGCAUGAGUAGCGAGAUGUGGGUGAGAAUCCCACAGGCCGUAAACCCAAGGUUUCCAGGGGAAGGUUCGUCCGCCCUGGGUUAGUCGGGACCUAAGCUGAGGCCGAAAGGCGUAGGUGAUGGACAACAGGUUGAUAUUCCUGUACUACCGAUAACCGUUUGAGAGAAGGGAUGACACAGUAGGAUAAGCUAAGCACACUGUUGGUUAUGUGUGCCCAAGCAUUGAGGCAGUCAAAGUAGGCAAAUCCGCUUUGAUAAUGCUGGGAUGUGAUGGGGAGCGAAAUUUAGUAGCGAAGUAGCUGAUUUCACACUGUCAAGAAAAGUCUCUAUCGAGGUUAAAGGUACCCGUACCGCAAACCGACACAGGUGGGUGAGGAGAGUAUCCUAAGGCCAGCGAGAGAACUGUUGUUAAGGAACUCGGCAAAAUGACCCCGUAACUUAGGGAUAAGGGGUGCCACCAUCAGGUGGCCGCAGAGAAUAGGCCCAAGCGACUGUUUACCAAAAACAUAGGUUUCUGCUAAGUCGCAAGACGAUGUAUAGGAGCUGACGCCUGCCCGGUGCUGGAAGGUUAAGGGGAUCUGUUAGAGCAAUCGAAGCAGUGAACUUAAGCCCCAGUAAACGGCGGCCGUAACUAUAACGGUCCUAAGGUAGCGAAAUUCCUUGUCGGGUAAGUUCCGACCCGCACGAAAGGCGUAACGAUUUGGGCACUGUCUCAACAACAGACUCGGUGAAAUUGUAAUUCCGGUGAAGAUGCCGGAUACCUGCGACAGGACGGAAAGACCCCAUGGAGCUUUACUGUAGCUUGACAUUGGGUCUUGGUACUACAUGUACAGGAUAGGUGGGAGGCUUUGAAACCAGGACGCCAGUUUUGGCGGAGCCAUCCUUGGGAUACCACCCUUGUAGUACUGGGACUCUAACCAUAGGCCAUGAAUCUGGUCUUGGGACACUGUCAGGUGGGCAGUUUGACUGGGGCGGUCGCCUCCCAAAAGG
rnacentral:rRNA from 1 species